rnacentral:rRNA from 1 species
UAAUCACCUGUCUUUUAAAUGAAGACCUGUAUGAAUGGCAUCACGAGAGCUUGACUGUCUCCCCCCCCCGAUCAAUGAAAUUGACCUGUCCGUGCAGAGGCGGACAUAAUAACAUAAGACGAGAAGACCCUAUGGAGCUUUAGGAUAAGGGACAACCACGUGAAGGGGCUAAAUUAAAUACUACAAGAGUAAGCUUUAAACCUAGUGGCCAAUGAUCCAAAUCCUUAGGUUGGGGCGACCGUGGGGCAGAGAGAAGCCCCCACAUGGAAUGAAGACUCCCUAUUUCUUUAAAACUAAGAAAAACGAUUCGAAGCAGCAGAAUAUCUGACCAAAAAUGACCCGGGACAAAUAGCACCUGAUCAUUGAACCAAGUUACCCUAGGGAUAACAGCGCAAUCCCCUCUUAGAGUCCU